rnacentral:rRNA from 1 species
CUACGGGUGGCUCCAGUGGGGAAUAUUGCACAAUGGAGGAAACUCUGAUGCAGCAACGCCGCGUGGAGGAUGACACUUUUCGGAGCGUAAACUCCUUUUAUAUAGGAAGAAGAUGACGGUACUAUAUGAAUAAGCGCCGGCUAACUCCGUGCCAGCAGCCGCGGUAAUACGGAGGGCGCAAGCGUUACUCGGAAUCACUGGGCGUAAAGGGCGUGUAGGCGGAUUAAAAAGUCAGAAGUGAAAUCCUAUAGCUUAACUAUAGAACUGCUUCUGAAACUCUUAAUCUAGAAUAUGGGAGAGGUAGAUGGAAUUUCUGGUGUAGGGGUAAUAUCCGUAGAGAUCAGAAGGAAUACCGAUUGCGAAGGCGAUCUACUAGAACAUUAUUGACGCUGAGACGCGAAAGCGUGGGGAGCAAACAGGAUUAGAUACCCCGGUAGUC